GCGUGACUAUUAAAACAAUAUUAUUUUUGUAAACCCGGUCAGGUCUGGAAGGAAGCAGCCGUAACAAAGAUAAUAUGUGUAAAAAAUAGUUACGUCAU
rnacentral:SRP_RNA from 1 species